rnacentral:rRNA from 6 species
CCUGGCGGCCUUAGCGCGGUGGUCCCACCUGACCCCAUGCCGAACUCAGAAGUGAAACGCCGUAGCGCCGAUGGUAGUGUGGGGUCUCCCCAUGUGAGAGUAGGGAACUGCCAGGC